GACGAACGCUGGCGGCGUGCUUAACACAUGCAAGUCGAACGAAAAGAGGGAAAGAGCUUGCUCUUUCCGGAAUUGAGUGGCAAACGGGUGAGUAACACGUAAACAACCUGCCUUCAGGAUGGGGACAACAGACGGAAACGACUGCUAAUACCGAAUAAGUUCCAAGAGCCGCAUGGCCCAUGGAAGAAAAGGUGGCCUCUACCUGUAAGCUAUCGCCUGAAGAGGGGUUUGCGUCUGAUUAGCUGGUUGGAGGGGUAACGGCCCACCAAGGCGACGAUCAGUAGCCGGUCUGAGAGGAUGAACGGCCACACUGGAACUGAGACACGGUCCAGACUCCUACGGGAGGCAGCAGUGGGGAAUCUUCCGCAAUGGGCGAAAGCCUGACGGAGCAACGCCGCGUAAGUGAUGACGGCCUUCGGGUUGUAAAACUCUGUGAUCCGGGACGAAAAGGCAGAGUGCGAAGAACAAACUGCAUUGACGGUACCGGAAAAGCAAGCCACGGCUAACUACGUGCCAGCAGCCGCGGUAAUACGUAGGUGGCAAGCGUUGUCCGGAAUUAUUGGGCGUAAAGCGCGCGCAGGCGGCUUCCCAAGUCCCUCUUAAAAGUGCGGGGCUUAACCCCGUGAUGGGAAGGAAACUGGGAAGCUGGAGUAUCGGAGAGGAAAGUGGAAUUCCUAGUGUAGCGGUGAAAUGCGUAGAGAUUAGGAAGAACACCGGUGGCGAAGGCGACUUUCUGGACGAAAACUGACGCUGAGGCGCGAAAGCGUGGGGAGCAAACAGGAAAAGAUCCCCUGGUAGUCCACGCCGUAAACG
rnacentral:rRNA from 1 species